GGGCUGGCUGUCGGCGCCAUCUUUACUUCGCCAUGCGCAGCUCACUAUACUUUAUGAGAUGUUAGAAUAGUUUUGCAUGCUAGUUUCUUCUAUUGCUCGGAAUUCCUUUUCCAGACAUUUCAGGUGGUGUCUGUUAUUGCUUAGGACGUGUGUUUUUUAGAAGCUCAGAAAACAAUUGAUUUAGUUUUCUAAUCCAAUAUGCCAGAAUUUGUCUCCUUACCAGGGAAUAAAACAUUAAUAUGAAGUUAUUAUGGGGCUAUAUGUAUUACUUCAUGUUAUCUCAUCUAGAGAUUUCUUUUGCUCAAAUGCUCUGAAAUUGUUAGUUCCCUAUGAUGCUAUGACUAUGUUUGUCCUUUUCUUCACACUAACAUAUUCCUUCAUGUAUCAUGUAUGUGAUGUACAGCUGGGUUACUGGAUAAUAAUCUUCUUUAGUCUGGUUUUAUUGUAGAAAUUAUUUCUUCAGUUACUAUAUAUAUAUGUACAUAUAUAUAUGCUAUGUGUAACAGUGAGGUUCAGAAGGAUUUUGGGGGACAUAUAACUGGAUUUAGAAGACAUCUUUCUAUUCCCGCUUUGGCUUUAAAAAUCCAGUCAAAUAAUCUGGUGUUAUUCUGGUAUGCCUGAUUUUACAAGUGACUUCAACAUUCUUACAGCUUUUAAUACCCUUUAUUUAAUGUAAUCUCAUUUAUUUGCUGUUUUGUAGUCCUCUUAUACAUAGAUGAGCUUCUCUUUUUCUAGGUAAGGUAAAUUUUCUUCUAUGAAUUUAUUGAAAGUAGAGAUUAUCCUUGUAUAAUAUAUACUGACUAUAAAUUCUCCUCUCCCUAUUCCUCUCUGUUCCUCCCCAUGUCCCAUUUUCCUUUCACUUUUGCAUUCUUCUGAUUCUCCAAUGCCAAUUAUCAGAAAGGCAAAACUUUCCUUAGAGCUCCUUCUCUGGGAAAGUCUUAUACAUUAUGAAGUUUGGCUGUCUUAUGACAUAACAGGUUUCUUAGCUGGACCAUAACUUGUGUGUGGUGACCCUGAGAAAGGACUUCCCAGAAUAUUUCUCUCAGUGAUGCUGAUCUUUUCUUAAUCACAGUUUAUUUUGUCAACCCCAGAUGACCAUUCUUGAUUUUCCCCGCAAAGCAAAGCUUUUGCUUUACUCUUUCUGUUCUCUUGUUAUUCACAGCUGAUUAUUCUUCAGCUCUGGCUGACAAAAACAGAAAGCUCUAGUCUUUAUAAAGUUAACAAAAUGACAUGCAGGGGUAUAGGUUUUCUCUGCAGUGCCUCUGAGAUUUGACAGGUUUCUAUAUGUGGUCUUUGAGUGGGAGCAUCUACAUGUUUGAGUAAGGGUAACUAGGAGAGUGCAGAGACAUAUGUAGAGUUCUCAUGCUAUGGAUCCAUGGUAGAAAUGGGUUGUGCUAACCAGUAAAGGCAGCACUAAUUCCUGUAACAGAGCAAAGGAAGGAAUGCAUUCAAGUUUGUGUAAAACUUGUGACUAUGACGCCAAAACAAGACAAAGACACUCUGAGAAAUAGAUUGUUUAAUUUAUCUGGUAGCAUAGAUGUAAUAUUCUCAAUAAUUUUCUCCCUAACUGAAAUCAAGAACACAUCAAAAUAUUAUCCACCAUAUUCUUAUACUUUUCUACUAUGGUUGGAGGGAUGGUUCAGCAUCCACAAACCAAUAGAUAUAAAUAACCACUAAAUAUACUUCAAGAAACAAACUGUGUCUUUGUACACCUCACUAAAUGCAGAAUAGGACUCUGACAAAUUCAACAUGCAUUCUAUAUGUAAACUCUUGAGAAUACAAGGGAUUCUUGAAAAUAAAUAGGGAUUCAAAGGGACAUAUAUCAACAUGAUAAAAGCAAUAUACAUUGACUGCAACCAUUAUCAUGCUAAAUAGAGGAAACUGGAAGCAUUACCAAUAGAAUCAGAAACAGGGAAAAGGUUGCCUACUCUGUAAUGCUUGCUCAAUUUAGUGCUUGGAAUUUUAGCUAGAGCAACAAAACAAGAGCCAACAAAAUAAGAUAAAAAUGAAUAUACAAAUAUGAGAAGUAACUAAAUUAUCAUGCAUGUAAUAUAACCGAAUGAAAGAAAACAUUAAUGCCUCUACCAGAAAACUCGUACACCAAAUAAAACAUUCAGCAAACUAACUAUUCGUAUACAAAAAUAUCACACCAACUUUAUUGUCCUUAUGUAUCAAUGAAAAACAUAAGGGACAAAGAUCAGUGUAUAAUCCUAUUUAUAAAGACCAAAAAUAUUGAAAUAACUCUAACCAAGAAAAUAAAAUAUUUCUACAAUAUAAACUUUCAGACUCUGGAGAAAUUGAAGAAACUACCAGAAGAUGGAUAAAGAUGCUUGUGGAUUGGCAGGGUUUCACAUGAAGAUUGAAAAAGAGAGAUGAUAUGGUCAGCAUAUGCAAUCAAGGAUUUGUGUUCAUAAAGCUCUAAUAGGAUGACCCCACUCUGAGAGAAGAGCUACAGUGCCACAGCUUCACUCAGGACUCACCUCUGCUAAGCAAUGAGAAAUACAUAGCAGGAGAUUGA